CUUGUACUCCCUCCGUUCGGAAUUACUUGUCGUAGAAAUGGAUGUAUCUAGAUGUAUUUUAGUUCUAGAUAUAUCCAUUUCCGAGACAAGUAAUUUCGAACGGAGGGAGUACAGG
rnacentral:pre_miRNA from 1 species